rnacentral:rRNA from 1 species
GACGAACGCUGGCGGCGUGCUUAACACAUGCAAGUCGAACGGUGAAGCGCCUUCCUUUUUGGUGGGUGUGGAUGAGUGGCGAACGGGUGAGUAACACGUGAGUAACCUGCCCCCUUCUUCUGGAUAACCGCAUGAAAGUGUGGCUAAUACGGGAUAUUCUGGGUCUGUCGCAUGAUGGGUCUGGGAAAGAUAUUGUUUCGGUGGGGGAUGGGCCCGCGGCCUAUCAGCUUGUUGGUGGGGUGAUGGCCUACCAAGGCGGUGACGGGUAGCCGGCCUGAGAGGGUGGACGGUCACACUGGGACUGAGACACGGCCCAGACUCCUACGGGAGGCAGCAGUGGGGAAUAUUGCACAAUGGGCGCAAGCCUGAUGCAGCGACGCCGCGUGAGGGAUGGAGGCCUUCGGGUUGUGAACCUCUUUCGCCAGUGAAGCAGGCCUGCCUCGUUUGUGGGUGGGUUGACGGUAGCUGGAUAAGAAGCGCCGGCUAACUACGUG